rnacentral:rRNA from 1 species
AUUGAACGCUGGCGGCAGGCCUAACACAUGCAAGUCGAGCGAGCGGCGGACGGGUGAGUAAUGUAUGGGGACUGCCCGUUAGAGGGGGAUAACUACUGGAGACGGUAGCUAAUACCGCAUACUAUCGGAUAACCCAUAUGGGAUUAGCUAGUGGGUGAGGUAAUGGCUGACCUAGGCGACGAUCCCUAGCUGGUCUGAGAGGAUGAUCAGCCACCCUGGGACUGAGACACGGCCCAGACUCCUACGGAGGAAGCAGUGGGGAAUAUUGCACAAUGGGCGCGAGACGGAGGCAGCGAAGACGCGUGUAUGAAGAAGGCCCUAGGGCUGGAAAGCACGUUCAGUCGGGGGGCGUUACCGAAAGAAGAAGCACCGGCUAACUCCGUGCCAGCAGCCGCGGUAAUAC